rnacentral:rRNA from 1 species
GAAAUCACAUGAGCCGGUACAUUUGCUGGUGAUUGUAAUAACGUAAGGGAAAAAAAUGAUAUUACCUUACUAUAAGUGUUGUCCAAAACUGGUGCCAGAAGACUCGGUAAGACCAGAGACGCGAACGUUAGUCGUCCUAAUCAGGCGUAAAGGGUGUGUAGGCUGCUUUAAAAGUUUUAUCUUUUUAAUAGCUAUGGGUGUAAAUUUUAAAAUAUAAUUUUCACUCAUUUUAAGAUAAGAUUAAUUAAAGCUAGAAUCAAAUCGGGGAUAAACCAAAUAAUACUUAGAGUAGGGCUUAUAUCCGGAGAUACUAAGGGGAAUACUAAAGGUGAAAGCUUUUUAUCUAAUAAUGAUUGACGCUGAGAAACGAAGGUGAGAAUAGGAAAUAGGAUUAGAUACCCAGAUACCUCUCACUGUCAACGAUGAAUGGUGGUUGUUAGUUUUUUAAAAAAUUGGCAGCGAUGUUAACACGAUAACCAUUCCGCCUUGCGAGUACGGUUGCAAAACUGAAACCAAAAAAAUUAGUCGGUCU